AUAAAAAGUUAAUUGUUAGGCCCGGCCCGUUGUACGGGCCUUACGUUAUCUAGUUUUUCCUAUAUAAAGAGCGUCCACAAGUCACUCUUCUCCGUCAAACCGAAAAAAAUCCUACACACAGAAAAAAAUUGUUGUAAACACAAAAUGAGCAAAGAAUGCAACGAUUCUUGGUCGUCAAAGAACAAGCAAGUGUUAGAAAAAGAAGAAAAUGAGACAACAAGUGGAAUAAUGACAACAUUAGGUGUUGUUGCAGCUGGUGUGGCUUUUGCUGCAUGGGGCAUUUCGAAGUUAUUGGGUUCAUCAUGUGAAACUGAAGAAUAUAACAAGAAGAAGAUGAAAAAGCCAGGGGCAGAUGGUUACAUGUAUAGGGACGAAUUUGAAACAAGUCCUAAGACCUAUUUUCGUGAUCUUCGUGGCAAGAAAUGAAAUCGAUCCCAUUUCGAUUUCUGCUCGAUCGUAUUACAAAUAUUCCAGUUUAGUUUCUCGUAUUUUCUAAUUCCCUGCAUGCUGCUUUAAUAUCGAACUAUGGUUGUUAUCCCUUUUCUUAUAUAUAUAAGUUGUGUACUUGUGUCUUAAAAUGUCUUUGUUAUUAGUAUUAGUAAACAAUAUGUCGAUCUUUUUGUUUCAAUGGCAGCAAUUUCAAGUCCUGUGAAAUUUAUAGUA